rnacentral:rRNA from 1 species
UUCCAGACUCCUACGGGAGGCAGCAGUGGGGAAUAUUGGGCAAUGGGCGCAAGCCUGACCCAGCAACGCCGCGUGAAGGAAGAAGGCUUUCGGGUUGUAAACUUCUUUUCUGAGGGACGAAGAAAGUGACGGUACCUCAGGAAUAAGCCACGGCUAACUACGUGCCAGCAGCCGCGGUAAUACGUAGGGAGCGAGCGUUGUCCGGAAUUACUGGGUGUAAAGGGAGCGUAGGCGGGCGAGAAAGUUGAAUGUUAAAUCUACCGGCUUAACUGGUAGCUGCGUUCAAAACUUCUUGUCUUGAGUGAAGUAGAGGCAGGCGGAAUUCCUAGUGUAGCGGUGAAAUGCGUAGAUAUUAGGAGGAACACCAGUGGCGAAGGCGGCCUGCUGGGCUUUAACUGACGCUGAGGCUCGAAAGCGUGGGGAGCAAACAGGAUUAGAUACCCUGGUA